CUCGAUGGCCAAAACCAUCAAGUUUUUGUCUUGUUUGUAUUUGAGGCGUAUUGUUAGUCGGCGACUUGGUUGUGUUUUUGGUGUUGCGUAGGUGUUCUGUGGUGUUGUGUUGUGGCGGAGUUCGUUGCUUCUGUGGCGGCAGCCUUAAAUGGCUUCCGACGCCGCAAUGUCCGAGGAAAGUAGCGAAGCAGACUCCGUUCUUGAGGCGAGAGUAGUCGCCCUGGAGGACGAGCUGCGGGAACUGCAACAAGCUCCCACGGCGGCACCGCUGGACGCCGAUUACGACCGAUGCUUUAUGAAAGCGCACCGCGAACUGACCGCUGGAAGGGUUCCCACCGCCAUCCCGAAACAGGCGCUGAGAGACGUGCUCUUGCAGGACUCUGACAAACGAACGGGAAGGACUGGAACGCGUGCUGGCUCACUACACCGACCAGCUGAAAGCGGCCGAGGCGGAGAUCGCCGUCUUGGAGGACCGCAACAACGCUAUCGCCGCCGCGAAGGACGAGGUGCCGCCAGUGCCGAACGACUACGAUGCCUUGAAAAAGCUGACCAACACGCGGCAAAGACAGAUUGGGCAGUACCUCGAGCUUUUGUACCCUCUGCCACAGCAUCUUGCGCGUUCGAGUGCAUGCAGCUAUCUCACACUCAGUGAGAUUUUCGACAGGCUACUGGAGGCCAGUGCCAAUGGACCGGAGGAGCGAUACAUCGAACUGGGCGUGGAGUUUUGGCCACCACACGUGCAAGUGCUCCUCAAUGCUAACUUGGUAGAACGACACCCUCACAGCAGUAACCGCAUCCGAUUGCGGGACUGGGGUUGAGCUUUGUUGUGCAGAGUGUACGUCCGCACAGACGUGUAUUCGCCUUCUAAUUUGUUGUCACAACAUGGUUUCGCAGGGUUUAAAACUGUGCAUUGAGCUUGCCAUGUAUUAAGAUAUUACGGGCUUCUUGAAAAGAAGCAUUCUGCAAUCAGGAUAACAAGCUUCAUUUUUAGUCCCAGUCACCACAGCGACGUAAUUGCCAUUUGUUGACAAAAUGGUAUCACGCAAGUGAAUUUCAUAUACUUACACUGUAGUGCUGAAACUUUUUAGGUUGCUUUCAAAUGAGUGUGGCCACUGUCAAACGAUUUGUCUACUCUUCAACAUUUUUGUGCAAUAGCUGACGAAGUUUUCGCUGCUACUGGAGAUGCUAAAUUUUAGUGUUUUAGUUCCUUAAAAUAUGUUGCAAGAUAAACCUGUGCAUGUUUUAUAAGAAAUUGUCAUGCCAUUUUUAUUAAUGCGAUGAACUCUGAUGAACUCUGCCAUAAAUGGAUAUAAACUUCACUCAUGUGUGCUGCGAGGGUGCUAGCACCUUCUGUAAAGUUGUUUGCGCCUCGUGGUGCACGUGUUUCGCGCAUAGGCCGCAUUUUGAAUUCACAACUACGAGCGGUAGGUGGCAUUGUGCUUGCGAGCGUUUAUUACUACCAUCGUCAUGGUUAGUGUGGUGGCGCUGGCAGUGAUGCCUAGCAGCAAGCCUGAAAGGGCGGCACAUGAGAGAUGAGCGGUUCUCUUUGGCGUGAACAAUUGCCUCUUGUGGUGGGUCCGCGGUGCACGUCACCGCGAGUCAUCUGGCGUGGGCCCUCGUGGUGAGUCAAGUGUUCGCCACCUUGUAUUUGUUAUGUUGUUGAGUGCGGUGUAUUAUUGUGUAAGAUUGCUUUAGCGUGUGGAUCACAAUUUGUGUAUAUUAAUUUGGCUGGCGAUAUCGUUCUUUUAAAGUAGUUAUAUAUAUGUGUGAUGUUUGGUUUGUUUCGACCCCGUCUAUUGUGUCCGUGUUCCAAAAGCAUGGCGUUCCAUUGCGAGACCCCACAGUGUGAAAGUUUGAGAGACAAGGCGAACUCAUGACCACGCGAUGAAAGCAACUCUGCUCAUGCUUUGUACCUUUUGACCGUUGGCUAUCCUACAAGGAAGUCAUCUGCAUGGAUUGACAUCGGUAAGCAUUGGCUGUAUACCGGUCUGAACUGUAAAUAUUUUGUGUGUAGGAAUGUACAGUCGGCCAAAACUUUAACAAGUGCCCUGUGGGCGUACUUGUCCUCACCUUUUCUUGAAACCUAAUGUAGUCGUAUGGCAAAGAUACACAGAAAAAACUGCCACUCAUGCACGAUAGCUAAAGAUUUGGCCGAUUUUACAUGUUGUUCUGCUGUCAUGUGGCCUACACAGUCGAAACUUCGUCCUUUUGCGGUGCUUGUUAGUAGGCUUGUGUGUAUAUUCGAAUGCUUCGAAUAUUUUGAUAUUCGAACCAAUAUCCCAGUGUUCGAACUUGCUUUGAUACGAAUUUAAAUUAUUGAAAGCUUCGAAGUAUUCAAUUUGAACAAGUGUAUUCACUCAAAUCUCAUUGUAACAAAGUCGCAUCUGCUCCCAAAAUAACUUCCGUUACAUCUGAAAAUUCGUUAUAAAUGUUUAUCUGCUACACUGUAUUUGUGACAAGAGUAUUAUUCAUUUACUUCGUUAUAACUAAUAAUUCUUUAUAUCUGUGUUCAUUAAAUCGAGGUUUGAGUGUAUUUCAACAAGUGGAGAUUUCACACCUUCAGGAAGUGUAUGGUCACUUUUUUUUUUUAGUUUCUGAUCUUGAACCCUCCAUAUGCAGGGAAUUAGUGACCUUUCCAUGCAAUACUGGAGGUAUUUCAGUGAGCCUUUUCUCAGUGAACAUAUUACUUUGAAUGUGGCUACAUGUGUGAAAUUAGUGAAGACAUAUAUCAUUACAAAGCAUUCUGUGUUUCUGUCUAGAUAAGCAUUAUUCAGAUGCAUUUCAUUCAUUCUACAUUUUGUUUUUUGUUUAGGCUAUUGAUGAGUUGAUCAUUGAAAUAGUUCAUUCCUGCUCUAGGUUUGAAGAACUUGGUGUUUCAUGUAUAGUUAAUGAACCGGUAAGAUUCAUUUAGAAUAUUGAAAAAGGUUGCGUUAAAUUGUUUUUGUACCAUGUACAAAUAAAGGGAACCCUAGAGUGCCCUGGAUAAUGGGCAAGAUCCCGUAUUUCUUUUGCCGUGUUACCCAACUACGUUAUGCAAGAGAAGUGGUGAGUUUAGGAUUUCCCAGAAAUUUCAGUCUCUCAAGAAUGAACUAUGAGUGACAGGUUUCCGAGACAUAUCGUCUAUAAGCAUGGAGCAUUUUAUUAUCUGUGAACCUAACACUACAAACAGUUACUUGCCAAGUUUUGAAGAAAGGUGCAAACCAGCAUUUAAUUAUGAAAAAAAAAAAAAGUCCUCUACCACUAAGCCCCAUUCUUCUGCGAUCAUCAGUCAGCAUGCAAACUAUUGCAGAGACUAUGCUUAAUAUUUGUUUAAUCAAUCUCUGGCCCACCAGGUGCCGCCGCAACCCAAAUUGUCGCAUUUUCUCGUCCGAUGCAAAUGCCAUAAAAUAAAGCUAAUAAGACUGAUUGCA